GUACCAUGCAGCACGUGGGAUCGUAGUUUGGUUCCCCGACCAGGGAUGGAACCCACGCCCCCUGCAUUGGAAGGGUGGAGUCUUAACCAAUGGACCCACCAGGGAAGUCCCUAUUAUAGUUUUUCCUCACUGUCUCUCUGAGGUAUCUUAUUGGGCUUGCUACUAAGCCCAAUAUGAAUUCAGAUCCUGGUUCUGUUGCUUGCUUUGCUUUAACCACCCCAAGUCUGUUUCUUCAUUUGCAAAACAGGGCUGUUACUAUAUCCCCAGGCAUCAUGGGUGAGAAAGGAAGAGGGGACUGAUAUCCCCGCUGGUGUGGGUAUAAGCGGAAAGAGCUGCGGGACUGUGUGGGUAUCAGAAAAGGUAUAUGCAGGUCAGAGGGUAAGGACUGAUCCCCCAGGUUGAAGGAGGGUGGGGCACAGUCAGGUGAGUCUGGGAGCCUCUUCUCUGCCCUUCCCCAGCUAAAGUGUCUCAAGACCCUGACCAUCCCCAGGAGGGAGCCUGAGCCAGGGGCUGCCCUCUGGAUUUCAAGGGUUCUGUCCUCAGUUAGAGGCCAUCCAUGUUCCCCAAGGGUGGAUGUGUUUGCUUGCCAAGGCCCGAAGCAUCCUUCCAGUUCCUGCAUCAGGACUCUGGGCAUCUAAUGAAGGUGAAAGCUGCCCAAGAAAAUCUCCUGUCUUUCCCGAUACCUUUCCCCUUCAUGUCAGGCUUUUUUAAAAUAAAUAUUUAUUUAUUUGGCUGUGCCAGGUCUUAGUGGCAGCAUGCAGGAUAUUUAGUUGUGGCAUACAAACUCGUAAGUUGCAGUGUGUGGGAUCCAGGCCCCCUGCAUUGGGAGUGUGGAGCCUUAGCUAUUGGGCCACCAGGAAAGUCCCCACGUCCCCUUGGGUAUUAGAAGCUAGAAGAAUAGUCAUGACCCUGAACCAUGUACCAUGAACCAUGUCAUUUUUGUGGUUGCAGAGCAUUAUUGUCUCUCAUUUCAGAUUUGGUCACAGAGUGACAUUGUCCCUUUCUCAUGUCAUUAUGUCACAGGAAAUCACAAUAUGCUGUGAGGAUGAGCUGCAAGUGACUUAGGUAGAUCCAGAGGGAGGCCUAAGAGCUGGAGCUGGUGAGCAAAGCAGAGCUAAGGUUCAGUUAGGUUACUCUGUUCCUUAAGUGAGUGAAGACUAUUGAUGGAACAUAGUUAUACUUGAUUUUAGAUACAGCUUUCUGAUGGAAGAUAAGAGAUGAUGAGGGCUGACUUAAGACAAUAAUAAAAAUUGUAACAAUGAUAAACAACUAUCACUGAUGGACUGUAGCCCACCAGGCUCCUCCAUCCAUGGAAUUUCUAGGCAAGAGUACU
rnacentral:lncRNA from 1 species